rnacentral:rRNA from 1 species
UAGCUAGUUGGUGGGGUAAGGGCCUACCAAGGCGACGAUCGGUAGCUGGUCUGAGAGGAUGACCAGCCACACUGGAACUGAGACACGGUCCAGACUCCUACGGGAGGCAGCAGUGGGGAAUAUUGGACAAUGGGGGCAACCCUGAUCCAGCAAUGCCGCGUGUGUGAAGAAGGCCUGAGGGUUGUAAAGCACUUUCAGUGGGGAGGAGUGUUGAUGGGUUAAGAGCUAAUUAACUGGACGUUACCCACAGAAGAAGCACCGGCUAACUCCGUGCCAGCAGCCGCGGUAAUACGGAAGGUGCGAGCGUUAAUCGGAAUUACUGGGCGUAAAGAGUGCGUAGGUGGUUGAAUAAGUUAUCUGUGAAAUCCCUGGGCUUAACCUGGGCAGGUCAGAUGAUACUGUUUAACUCGAGUAUGGGAGAGGGUAGUGGAAUUUCCGGUGUAGCGGUGAAAUGCGUAGAGAUCGGAAGGAACACCAGUGGCGAAGGCGGCUACCUGGCCUAAUACUGACACUGAGGCACGAAAGCGUGGGGAGCAAACAGGAUUAGAUACCCUGGUAGUCCACGCUGUAAACGAUGUCAACUAGCUGUUGGUUAUAUGAAAAUAAUUAGUGGCGC